rnacentral:rRNA from 1 species
AUGAACGCUGGCGGCGUGCCUAAUACAUGCCAGUCGAGCGAACAGACGAGGAGCUUGCUCCUCUGACGUUAGCGGCGGACGGGUGAGUAACACGUGGAUAACCUACCUAUAAGACUGGGAUAACUUCGGGAAACCGGAGCUAAUACCGGAUAAUAUAUUGAACCGCAUGGUUCAAUAGUGAAAACGGGUUUGGUUUCACUUAUAGAUGGAUCCGCGCCGCUUUUGCUUGUUGGUAAGGUAACGGCUUACCAAGGCAACGAUGCGUAGCCGACCUGAGAGGGUGAUCGGCCACACUGGAACUGAGACACGGUCCAGACUCCUACGGGAGGCAGCAGUAGGGAAUCUUCCGCAAUGGGCGAAAGCUUGACGGAGCAACGCCGCGUGAGUGAUGAAGGUCUUCGGAUCGUAAAACUCUGUUAUUAGGGAAGAACAAAUGUGUAAGUAACUAUGCACGUCUUGACGGUACCUAAGCAGAAAGCCACGGCUAACUACGU